rnacentral:rRNA from 1 species
CGGCGGACGGGUGAGUAACACGUGGAUAACCUACCUAUAAGACUGGGAUAACUUCGGGAAACCGGAGCUAAUACCGGAUAAUAUAUUGAACCGCAUGGUUCAAUAGUGAAAGACGGUUUUGCUGUCACUUAUAGAUGGAUCCGCGCCGCAUUAGCUAGUUAGUAAGGUAACGGCUUACCAAGGCAACGAUGCGUAGCCGACCUGAGAGGGUGAUCGGCCACACUGGAACUUAGACACGGUCCAGACUCCUACGGGAGGCAGCAGCC